rnacentral:lncRNA from 1 species
GCUGAAUAGAGAGCGUCUCUGAAAAAGUGGACGGAUGAUGAUAACAAAGCAAGGUACUACAUGUUGGGUGCAAUGUCUGAUGACUUGCAGUGCCAACAUGAGAAUAUUUUGACUACCCGCCAAAUGUUGGCUCACCUACAAGAGUUGUUUGGUGAACAGAGUCGCGCAGCCAAGUAUCAAGUUUGUCAAAGACUUUUUAAGGCC